rnacentral:rRNA from 1 species
UGGUGAUGCUAGCAGCAGGGAUACACCCGGUCACAUUCCGAACCCGGCAGUUAAGUCUGUUCACGCCUAAGAUACUUGGAUUCGUCCCGGAAAAUAGGUAGUUGCCA